UGGACAGAUUAUUGUAUUCGAAUGUAUUUGACUGUAUUCACGGCGUGAAACAUAGGAUUACACUAUUUUUAAAUGAAAAGUAAAUCAAUUAACAUAAUAGACUCCU
rnacentral:pre_miRNA from 1 species